UACGUAGGUGACCAGCGUUGUCCGGAUUUACUGGGCGUAAAGAGCGCGCAGGCGGUCGUUCAAGUCGCGUGUGAAAGCCCCCGGCUCAACUGGGGAGGGUCACGCGAUACUGAUCGACUGGAAGGCAGGAGAGGGUAGUGGAAUUCCCGGUGUAGUGGUGAAAUGCGUAGAGAUCGGGAGGAACACCUGUGGCGAAGGCGGCCCCCUGGGCCGCACCUGACGCUGGGACGCGAAGGCGUGGGGAGCGAACGGG
rnacentral:rRNA from 1 species